UAGUCCACGCCGUAAACGAUGAGAACUAGAUGUUGGGAGGGUUAGCCUCUCGGUGUCGCAGCUAACGCAUUAAGUUCUCCGCCUGGGGAGUACGCCGGCAACGGUAAAACUCAAAGGAAUUGACGGGGACCCGCACAAGCGGUGGAGCAUGUGGUUUAAUUCGAUGCAACGCGAAGAACCUUACCUGCCCUUGACAUACUCGGAACUUUUCAGAGAUGAAUUGGUGCCUUCGGGAACCGAGAUACAGGUGCUGCAUGGCUGUCGUCAGCUCGUGUCGUGAGAUGUUGGGUUAAGUCCCGCAACGAGCGCAACCCUUGUCCUUAGUUGCCAUCAGGUAAUGCUGGGAACUCUAAGGANACCGCCGGUGACAAACCGGGAGGAAGGUGGGGACGACGUCAAGUCAUCAUGGGCCCUUAUGGGGCAGGGGCUACACACGUGCUACAAUGGAUGGGGUACAGAGGGGUUGCCAACCAGCAAUGGGGGAGCUAAUCCCAGAAA
rnacentral:rRNA from 1 species